CAGCACUCUCCCUUUGUGAGUCCACGCUGAUAAAACUGACUGGUCCAUAGGAAGGAGGAAAUAGAGCAUGUCCAUGAGACCGGCUUAGUGUUGGUGCAGAAGGAUAAACAAAGGACUUCUCAUAAAUUGCAGCAGCAGCAACUGCAGCUUGGAGUCUAGCCUGGUGCUGACUAACAUAACCGUUUGUCCUAGGAUGUGCUUGGGAACCUCGAGAUGUGCUUGCUAAACUUGUUCCUUGCUGAGAAUAUCCAGAUCCAGCAACACUCGUCCCAUUUUCAGGUGGUACAACAAGAGCUCUGCAAGUAGGACACGUG
rnacentral:misc_RNA from 1 species